rnacentral:rRNA from 1 species
UACGUAGGGCGCAAGCGUUGUCCGGAAUUAUUGGGCGUAAAGAGCUCGUAGGCGGUGUGUCACGUCGUUCGUGAAAACCUGCAGCUUAACUGUGGGCGUGCGGUCGAUACGGGCAUCACUGGAGUUCGGCAGGGGAGACUGGAAUUCCUGGUGUAGCGGUGAAAUGCGUAGAUAUCGUGAGGAACACCAGAGGCGAAGGCGGUUACCUGGACAGUUACUGACGCUCAGGCACGAAAGCGUGGGGAGCCAAAAGGG